GGGGAACAGAGAGCGCGCUGAUUGAAGCAGCAGUUGUGUGACUGCACCGAGUGGAUGACCUAAGUCAGUGUUUAUAUUAGUGUCUGUUGCUGCAUAUGAGAGAUCUCCGGUGGGGGAGGGGAUUCAGGCCUACUUCGACGGAGAUUGAGCAGGGGAGAACAAGCUUGGGAACAGAGAGCGCGCUGAUUGAAGCAGCAGGUAAAAGUGAGGAGAAAAUAGUUGAUAAGAAAUUGUUAAAUGGAUAUAAUACAGGCUGAUUAUCAACUCGUGGACCUGUGGUGGUUUCAGUUGUGUGACUGCACCGAGUGGAUGACCUAAGUCAGUGUUUAUAUUAGUGUCUGUUGCUGCAUAUGAGAGAUCUCCGGUGGGGGAGGGGAUUCAGGCCUACUUCGACGGAGAUUGAGCAGGGGAGAACAAGCUUGUGAGAUCGCACGUGCCAGUUUCCACGUGAUUGAUAAUCCGGAGUCUCAUAUAACAGCACAUAUAAGCCACUGCCGUUGUUUUGCACACCUUUAUUGGUUCUUUAACAUUGGUUGCACUAUUUCAAGUCAAAUUGGGGCUUGUGAUCUGGUGUUUUGAUUAGAGGUUAUUAUUGUAAAGGACUUAUUUUUAUUCUUUACAUUUCUUUUUAUACCUUAUUUCACUUUCUGUGCCCAUUGAAGUGAAUUGGGUAACGUCAUUUAUUUUGUUUUAUUAUUGUUUUAUUUGACUUUUCUUGUUUAACUGGAUUGAAGUCCUGAGAAAAUACUAUUUUUCCCCUGAACCAAACAUUAAUGCUGGGUCUCCAUUUGAGGCUCAGUCAAGAAUAAAAGAAUCCUUUUCAGUAGAUGUCUUGGCAUUGUCUUUUCCUUAGUAUAUUAGAAGGACGUCAAGCCGGCC
ensembl:lncRNA